AACCAACUGAACCACCCAGGUGCCUCAUGCAUGUGUUUUCUUGCAUUCAGUGAGUGACUGCAUAGGUCUCCCUCUCUCCCCACAGCUACAUUUCUUUUGCACUUGCCAUAGUGUUGCAAAGACACCAGAAGGAACAGAACCGAACUCUCUUGCAUGUAAUUUGUCUAAGUCAGAGUUUCCUCAUCUGUAUUUUCACUGGACAGUAGAUA